GGGAAAGUUGAAAAGCACUUUGAAAAGAGAGUGCAAGAGAACGUGAAAUCGAUAUAAUGGAAGCGAAUGAAGUCGGCGUAUCUGGUGCGUAUUCAGAUGUUAGCGUUGUGCGAUCGUUUGGCUGUGGUAUUCCGCAAGGUUGCUCGGUUGAAUGUUGUCGUAUGAUGUUGCAUUGCAUUUGCGUACGGAGUGCGACGAGGCGGUUGAUCACGUCGGUUGAAGUUGUUCAAGGUAGCAGUCAAUUUCGGUUGACUGUGUUUUUGUGCAACGGACGCCUGAUUGAGGUCGUCCGUGAGCGGAUGAGUUGGGCUUGAUCGUGCUUUGCUAAUGUUUUUGUAUGAUUUUUCGUUGAGCGCAUGCGUUCCGCGUUAAGUUGUGCCGAGAUAUCGGUGAAGUAACACAAUUCAUCGACAUCGUCGUAUAGUCGGUCACUCAUUCGACCCGUCUUGAAACACGGACCAAGGAGUUUACAGUACACGCAAGCCAUUGAGCUAAAGUCGAAACUUAAUAAAGGCAAAAUGAAAGUGAAAUCACUCAGUUGGUUGUGAACACGAUCGGUAGUUCGUUCGCGAAUUAUCGCGCAGUGUUGCCCCAUUCCUGGAGCUUGCUCUGGUGUGGAGGUUGAGCGUGUGCAGUGAGACCCGAAAGAUGGUGAACUAUGCCUGAGCAGGACGAAGUCAGAGGAAACUCUGAUGGAAGUCCGAAGCGAUUCUGACGUGCAAAUCGAUCGUCUGAUUUUGGUAUAGGGGCGAAAGACUAAUCGAACCAUCUAGUAGCU
rnacentral:rRNA from 1 species